rnacentral:lncRNA from 1 species
CAUGUUGUGGCAUGUACAUAAACUUUGUCCUUCCAGGCUAGUCAGAUUGUAUUUCCUAUGAAAAUCUGUUCCACAGAAAUGACAAAAGGUGACAGGCAAUGUCUCUUUAAGAUGCUUAUGCUUAACAUGACUCAGAGCCUUAAAUGCUCAGUUUGAGGGAUAGCAGUGUAGUGAGGCCUCAUGCCCCAUUUCCUCCUUCAUUAAUUUUUGCUAAGGGGGGUUUCUGACAUGAAGGGGAGAAGUCCUAGGGCUGCACACAAUGCUUUGCCCAUAUUGUAAUACAAAGCUGCCAGAUGCUUCCUCCAAAGGAGCGAUGAAGGAUAUGUGGCUAAAGAAUGACUUCUGUAAUCAAGUGGAUGAAGGCCUGGGAAAAUCUUGUCACUUGGAGAGGUAGUGAGUCACUCCUGAAAAAUAAAAUCAAUUAUUUUUAAAUAAAUGCAAGAUAAACUUACAUCGCUAUCUUAUUUGCAAAGACAAAUAAGAUGUCAGCCAUCUCUUUUAGAAUUGUCCCACUGGGGGAAUAAACAUUCUCUGAUUUAUAAUAUUAUUUGAGAUGUCAGUUAGAUCAAUCUUUUAAUUCAUGUGUUACAUUUGGUUGCAAUUUUAAUAUGCUUUUCUUGUUGUUGAUAGAGGUAGGGCAGUAGGUAAUUUAAUCUAUGUAAAGAACUCCUAUUUGUUGAUUAGUAUUCAUCUCCUUGAAAAAUUAACACUUUCAUCUAAAGGACCAAUCCAAAUCUGUUCAGUUCUAUGUGACUAACUAUGAAUAUUAAAAAUAAACAUAGGUCUAAGCAUGCAUUUGUAAUCUUAGCCCUCAGAGAAUACUGUUUGUAGAUUUGUUGAUUCAAAAC